rnacentral:rRNA from 1 species
UCGGGAAUUUUGGGCAAUGGGGGAAACCCUGACCCAGCAACGCCGCGUGAAGGAUGAAGUAUUUCGGUAUGUAAACUUCGAAAGAAUAGGAAGAAUAAAUGACGGUACUAUUUAUAAGGUCCGGCUAACUACGUGCCAGCAGCCGCGGUAAUACGUAGGGACCAAGCGUUGUUCGGAUUUACUGGGCGUAAAGGGCGCGUAGGCGGCAUGACAAGUCACUUGUGAAAUCUCUGGGCUUAACCCAGAACGGCCAAGUGAUACUGUCGCGCUAGAGUGCAGAAGGGGCAAUCGGAAUUCUUGGUGUAGCGGUGAAAUGCGUAGAUAUCAAGAGGAACACCUGAGGUGAAGACGGGUUGCUGGGCUGACACUGACGCUGAGGCGUGAAAGCCAGGGGAGCAAACGGGAUUAGAUACCCCCGUAGUCCCUGAGCGGGCUGGCAAGGCGCAU